AGGUUAAGAGACCGCCACCUCCGAAGCCCCAGGACGACCCCGUACGCAGCAUAUGGACCCUAAUGUUAGCUCAAAUGUGGCAGACAACAGAGAAAUCGAGCUGCCGGCGUUGGAAAAGGAUUGAACCAGCGACUCUCUGAUGCAGUGUCCGAUAUGCUUGCUACUCGACCACCGGGGCAACUGACGGUCCACGCUGACGCCAUCAUGAGGGUCGACGACGAGGUCGGCUGAUACCGACUCAGCUAUCGACGGGACACCUUCGAUGUCAUCGCCAGUGGCAACGUCUCAUUUUACGGCCCACGUCGGGAUGUCGAUAAGGUCCAGUCUGUUGCGGGACCGUGAGUCUGCCUACGGGGCCGUGACAGGAAAGUCCCCUGAAUGUGAAGUACAAGGUCUAGCGAGACGGUGUCCAGGCCGGACAUCGAUGCUACGAAGGAGCUACAAAACGACGGUCCCUUGUGGUGUGAUAGCCUACAUGACGGAGUGUCCCGAAUUGCGUAGCAGGUCUUUAUCCAAUGGCAAGA